GUGUUACUUUGGCAGCACAUAUACUAAAAAUUAGAAUGAUACAGAUAAUACUAGCAUGGUCCCUGUGCAAGGAAGACAUGCAAAUUUGUGAAGCAUUUCAUAUUUUU